rnacentral:tRNA from 1 species
GUUUUUAUAGUUGAACACAACGGCGGUUUUUCAGACCGCAGGUUUUGGUGUGAAGCCAAAUGAAAAUA